GCCUCCAGCGCUGCUCUCAACUACCCCAGUUGGAGGUGGCAUCCGGCUUCUGAAAUUUCAGUUUCAGGAAUCGCAUAGUGCAGCUGAUUGACUAAGAGUGGUCCGCUGACGCUCUCAGUCAAUCAGUGACUUGCUAUUCACAAAACUGGCUUGGAAAGAAAUGUACCUUUUUCAAGCAAGUCUUGUGAAUGGGAAAUCACUCAUUGGCUGAGAGCGUCAGCCACAUUGGACGCAAUUUUGGGGUUAAACUGUUCAAGAAUUGUCUAGGCCCUUGAGGUAAGAGUGCGCCGGGGGCCUCAUGACACCAUAACAAUUUAAUUUAGAUGAAGUGGUUAUGGUGCCUAAACUGUCCCUUUAAUUAUAUUAUAG